AUUGAACGCUGGCGGCAUGCCUUACACAUGCAAGUCGAACGGUAACGCGGGGCAACCUGGCGACGAGUGGCGAACGGGUGAGUAAUGCAUCGGAACGUGCCUGGUAGUGGGGGAUAACUGCUCGAAAGAGCAGCUAAUACCGCAUACGACCUGAGGGUGAACGGGGGGGAUCGCAAGACCUCUCGCUAUCAGAGCGGCCGAUGUCGGAUUAGCUAGUUGGUGGGGUAAAGGCCCACCAAGGCGACGAUCCGUAGCUGGUCUGAGAGGACGACCAGCCACACUGGGACUGAGACACGGCCCAGACUCCUACGGGAGGCAGCAGUGGGGAAUUUUGGACAAUGGACGCAAGUCUGAUCCAGCCAUGCCGCGUGCGGGAAGAAGGCCUUCGGGUUGUAAACCGCUUUUGUCAGGGAAGAAAUCUUCUGGGUUAAUACCUCGGGAGGAUGACGGUACCUGAAGAAUAAGCACCGGCUAGCUACGUGCCAGCCGCCGCCGUAA
rnacentral:rRNA from 1 species